GAUGAACGCUGGCGGCGUGCCUAAUACAUGCAAGUCGAGCGAACAGACGAGGAGCUUGCUCCUUCGACGUUAGCGGCGGACGGGUGAGUAACACGUAGGUAACCUACCUAUAAGACUGGGAUAACUUCGGGAAACCGGAGCUAAUACCGGAUAAUAUUUCGAACCGCAUGGUUCGAUAGUGAAAGAUGGCUUUGCUAUCACUUAUAGAUGGACCUGCGCCGUAUUAGCUAGUUGGUAAGGUAACGGCUUACCAAGGCAACGAUACGUAGCCGACCUGAGAGAGUGAUCGGCCACACUGGAACUGAGCCACGGUCCAGACUCCUACGGGAGGCAGCAGUAGGGAAUCUUCCGCAAUGGGCGAAAGCCUGACGGAGCAACGCCGCGUGAGUGAUGAAGGUCUUCGGAUCGUAAAACUCUGUUAUUAGGGAAGAACAAACGUGUAAGUAACUGUGCACGUCUUGACGGUACCUAAUCAGAAAGCCACGGCUAACUACGUG
rnacentral:rRNA from 1 species